GCCUGAGUGGCGGAACUGGUAGACGCGCACGACUCAAAAUCGUGUACCGCAAGGUGUGCCGGUUCGAUUCCGGCCUCAGGUAC
rnacentral:tRNA from 2 species